rnacentral:lncRNA from 1 species
GAAAGUCGAAACACAACGGGUUCCAUAAACAUUGGGUAUUAUACUGGUUUAAAAUGUAUACAUUGGUACAUAAAAAACUGGGGUGAUUCUCGUUUGCUGGAGUAAUUAACUACUCCCUCCGAAAAAAAUACAAAAGCGUUUAGAUCACUAAACGCUUUUAUAUUUGUUUACAAGGGAGUACUAGCUACGAUACAUGGUACGUGCGGAGUACAACCACAAAUACAGUAAAUGAAAUAAAACAAGCUGUAAAACAAGAUACAAUGAAGCACAGACACUACUACUCAAUGAAGCGCAGACACUACCCCUACUCUGCAGGAUUUUCAGCCAACGGAUCAAAUCCUGCAUCCCUCCAUCUGCAUACAGAAUACAAACCGAAGCGUAAGAAGAAGAAAACAAACUAUAUGCGAUUGGGGUAGAAGAAAGGAUUUAGUGAGUUUUUACCAGGAUGUUAAUUAGUUGCCGUCGGCUUCUUCGGAGUUCUCCGUCUUCAUCUGAUCAUCUCCUCCUCCUUCACCUUGCGUAUUUCCUUCUCCAACCUGAACCUCUCCCUCUCCACGCGCUCAAACACCUCUGCCAGCUUCGUCAUCUCCGCCGCCAGCUUCGUCACCCC